GACGAACGCUGGCGGCGUGCCUAACACAUGCAAGUCGAACGGAAAGGCCCUGCUUAUGGGGGGUGCUCGAGUGGAGAACGGGUGAGGAACACGUGAGUAACCUGCCCCUGACUUUGGGAUAACUUCAUGCAACUGGAGCUAAUACCGGAUAGGAGCUACUGCUGCAGGGUGGGCGUUGGAAAGUUUAGGUGGUUGGGGAUGGACUCGCGGCUUAUCAGCUUGUUGGAGGGGUAGUGGCUUAGCAAGGCUUUGACGGGUAGCCGGGCUGGGAGGAUGACCUGCCCCGUUGGGACUGGACUGCGGCCCGGACUACUACGGUACGCGGCGGUGCAGUAGAGUGCACUAGGCGCGGAAGCCAGCUGUGACCUAGCCGUGUCGCGUAUGACGUGCAUGCGUUAGGGUUGUACAGCCCCUUGAGCCGAGGCGUGAGUGACGGUAAUGGGUGAAGAAGCACCGGCUAACUACGUG
rnacentral:rRNA from 1 species